UACGUAGGGUGCGAGCGUUAAUCGGAAUUACUGGGCGUAAAGCGUGCGCAGGCGGUUUUUUAAGUCAGAUGUGAAAUCCCCGGGCUUAACCUGGGAAUGGCAUUUGGGACUGGAAGGCUUGAGUGCGGCAGAGGAGACUGGAAUUCCUGGUGUAGCAGUGAAAUGCGUAGAUAUCAGGAGGAACACCGAUGGCGAAGGCAGGUCUCUGGGCUGACACUGACGCUCAUGCACGAAAGCGUGGGGAGCAAACAGG
rnacentral:rRNA from 1 species